ACGAGCGUAAAAACUCCAAACCUUUGUGAAUCUACCAUUCGUUGCUUCGGCGGGCGGCUCCCGGGGGAGCCUUAAGCCACCGCGGUGCCCGCCGACAGCCCCAGACUCUUCUGUAUUUCAGGCUUUACCUUCUGAAUGCACAAACAAACAAGUAA
rnacentral:misc_RNA from 1 species